rnacentral:rRNA from 1 species
CCUACGGGGGGCAGCAGUGAGGAAUAUUGGUCAAUGGACGAGAGUCUGAACCAGCCAAGUAGCGUGAAGGAUGACUGCCCUAUGGGUUGUAAACUUCUUUUAUAUGGGAAUAAAAUGUUCCACGUGUGGGAUUUUGUAUGUACCAUAUGAAUAAGGAUCGGCUAACUCCGUGCCAGCAGCCGCGGUAAUACGGGGGAUCCGAGGGUUAUCCGGACUUAUUGGGUUUAAAGGGAGCGUAGGUGGAUUGUUAAGUCAGUUGUGAAAGUUUGCGGCUCAACCGUAAAAUUGCAGUUGAAACUGGCAGUCUUGAGUACAGUAGAGGUGGGCGGAAUUCGUGGUGUAGCGGUGAAAUGCUUAGAUAUCACGAAGAACUCCGAUUGCGAAGGCAGUUCACUGGACUGCAACUGACACUGAGGCUCGAAAGUGUGGGUAUCAAACAGGAUUAGAUACCCUGUAGUC